UACGUAGGGUGCGAGCGUUGUCCGGAAUUAUUGGGCGUAAAGAGCUCGUAGGCGGUUUGUCACGUCUGCUGUGAAAUCCUGAGGCUCAACCUCGGGCCUGCAGUGGGUACGGGCAGACUGGAGUGCGGUAGGGGAGAAUGGAAUUCCUGGUGUAGCGGUGGAAUGCGCAGAUAUCAGGAGGAACACCAAUGGCGAAGGCAGCUCGCUGGGACGGUACUGACGCUGAGACGCGAAAGCGUGGGGAGCAAACAGG
rnacentral:rRNA from 1 species